GUAGAGAUUAGCUAAAGGAAUUCUAGUAAUUUGAUGACAGCUCCAGAUGAUGUUGAAGUAAAUAAAUAACGAUUUUCCACUUUCACUGACGAGUUGUUACCUUGUCGCGAUAGCGAUGCCACAGACACGGUCAGUGAAUGCAUUCGUCGAGAAAGUGGGUGAAACUAUAUUUGGGCCCAGUCAUAGCUUCCCUACCGAUCACCCACCGUACAAUUAAUAGCUCUGGUAUGGAUGUCCUUCACGUGCCUACAUCGUAGCCUCCACCGCUUGGUCGGUCCAGUGAAAAAGAUGCAUGCACUAUACUUUUGUCGGAAGAUGAAUCCCUCAAAAAGGGUUUUGGCACAAAAAACUAAACCCACAUUUCGAUUCGAUCACCCGGGAGUUUUUUUAGUUGCCAUAAGCAAUGAUACUAAUCUGCAGAAUGAUUCUGGUAGCCAUUUUUAUAGCCGUAACUUUUAACAUGCAACGUCAAAGAUGUAAAUGCGAGGAAAAUACAUUAAGAAAAAUUCAAUAAAAUAAAUUUGAAGAUGAUUUACCGUGAUUUACCAUCGAAAUAAACCUCCGGUGGUACAGAACAAGGUCAUCAACAAAAAAGCCCAGUAGCAACAGCAACAGAAGCAUCAAAGCUAGCCCAAAACUUUUUUACGGAGGUGUUGAAAAACUAGUAUCUUGUCAACCAAUUUCGUAAAUUGAGUCUACCAUUUCCGAAAAUUUCGGAGGGUACGAAACCGCAGCUAGACCAAGUAUAUCAACUACUUCAAUCAAUAUUCCUCCGUAUUUUCUCGGAUAAUGAUGAAGUUGUGAAAAAAUCGGGAUCUCAACCUACUAGGAAAACAAGUUCGACUGCUACCACUGCAUGUGCUAUAACAACAAUUGGUGCACCAACGUUCAGCUCCGGAACGAUGACUGGUAAUUUGAGUGAUUCUAUUUAAGAUCAGUAUUGGUCAGUGAGAUCAUCGAAAGGAAUUUUAUUGAACAAGUUUUUUUUAAUGUUAUUUUCAGUCAACAGAAAAAAAUUUUACGGGCAACGUUCGGCUGCAUCAAUUCGAUGGGUUCCAGAUUGAAAAGCGGGACAAGUAUUCACAUGAGAUGAAACUGCCAAUAUAAACGUACCAACCAAAUCAUUAAAAUCGUCGAGUGUUUCAACAGCAUCAGACAAACAGAUACCGCGGCCUGCCUAACCUACACUAUGAAGCACACAAGAAAAAAGUUCGACCUAAAUUCCUUGGCUGUGUACU